UACGAAGGGUGCAAGCGUUAAUCGGAAUUACUGGGCGUAAAGGGUGCGUAGGCGGUUGUUUAAGUCUGUUGUGAAAGCCCUGGGCUCAACCUGGGAAUUGCAGUGGAUACUGGGCGACUAGAGUGUGGUAGAGGGUAGUGGAAUUCCCGGUGUAGCAGUGAAAUGCGUAGAGAUCGGGAGGAACAUCCAUGGCGAAGGCAGCUACCUGGACCAACACUGACACUGAGGCACGAAAGCGUGGGGAGCAAACAGG
rnacentral:rRNA from 1 species